CGUACAAUAUGUACGAGGAAAGUCCGAGCUCCAUAGGGCAAGGUGCCGGGUAAUACCCGGUGGAGGUGACUCCAAGGAAAGUGCAACAGAGAUAUACCGCCCGCUAUUUAUUUUGAUAUGAAUUGUAAUUUUAUUAAGUACGUUAUACAUAUCGAAAUAAGUAGCGGGUAAGGGUGGAAAGGCGAGGUAAGAGCUCACCAGCAUCCAGGCGACUGGAAUGCUCUGUAAACCCCACCUGGAGCAAGGUAAAAUAGGAGGGAAUUAUAAGUGGCCCGCUUAACCCUCGGGUAAAACCGCUAGA
rnacentral:RNase_P_RNA from 1 species